rnacentral:tRNA from 1 species
CAGAGAAUAGUUUAAUUAAAAUUUUAAUUUUGGAGAUUAAAGAUAAAAAUAAAUUUUUUUUCUCUGA